rnacentral:tRNA from 1 species
UUCUCGGUAGUAUAGUGGUGAGUAUCCCCGCAUGUCACGCGGGAAACCGGGGUUCGAUUCCCCGCCGAGGAG